rnacentral:rRNA from 1 species
UACGGAGGGUGCAAGCGUUAAUCGGAAUUACUGGGCGUAAAGGGUGCGUAGGUGGUUUAUUAAGUUAGCUGUGAAAUUCCUGGGCUCAACCUGGGACUGUCAGCUAAGACUGGUAGACUCGAGUAUGGGAGAGGGUAGUGGAAUUUCCGGUGUAGCGGUGAAAUGCGUAGAGAUCGGAAGGAACACCAGUGGCGAAGGCGGCUACCUGGCCUAAUACUGACACUGAGGCACGAAAGCGUGGGGAGCAAACAGG